rnacentral:lncRNA from 1 species
AUAUCAUAGGCAUUUGGAUGCUACACUGUUUUUAGAAAAGGCAGAUAUACUUUUUUAUUUUUUAAGAUGUCUUUUUUUUAGUAUUUAUUUUUUGGUUAUAAGUGGACACAAUUUCCUUAUUUUAUUUUUAUGUGGUGCUGAGGAUCGAACCCAGUGCAUCACGCAUGCUAGGCAAGUGCUCCACCUCUAAGCCACAAUCCCAGCCCCAUAUAUACUUUUAUUUAAACCAGUUCUUUCAGAGAAUUUGAUCCUAUGUAGCAUCACAUAAAAUUAGCACUAGUAGCUGGUGGUGCACGCCUGUAAUCCCAGCUACUCAGAGGCUGAGACAGAAGAAUCAUAAGUUUGAGGCUAGCCUAGGCAACUUAGCAAGACCCUGUCUCAAACUAAAAAAAAAAUUUUGAAGGGCUGGGGAUGUGGUUCAGUAGUAAAGUGUCCCUGAGUUCAGCCCCCAGUGGCCUCCCACCAAAUUAACACUGGUAAGGACAGAAUGUUAUGAAAUUUGGUAGAUAAAUUCAACCAAUACAUUAUUAUUUUCAAAAUAUAAGAUUUUUAAAUCUAAAAUUUUUCUGGUAGCCAGGCGCGAUGGUGCAUGCCUGUAAACCUAGCAGCUCAGAAGGCUAAUUCAGGAAGAUCACAAGUUCAAAGCCAGCCUCAGCAACUUAACAAAGCCCUAAAGCAACUUAGGGAGAUCCCCCCAAAAAAAUAAAUAUUAAAAAAAAAAGGACAGGGGAUGUGUCUCAGUAGUUAAGCACCUCUGAAUCCAAUCCCUGGUAAUCACCCCCCCCCCCCCCCCCCCCCCCCCAAAAAAAAAAAAAAAAAUGUCUGGCAGGGCCUCUGCUUUUCUGACAGGUAGCAAGGAGCUCACAGAGACUGCUUUGUCAUAGCAAUCCUGUGCUUCAUUGACUCUUAAUCAAAACAUACGAUUAGAGUCUCAAGAUUUUUGUACUUCCUUUGUGAAGACUAUUCAGUGCUUUGAAGAAUUAACAGCUUUGGGCUGGGGAUGGAGCUUAGUGGCAGAGCAUGAGCCUGGCAUGUACAGGGGCCUGGGUUUAAUCCCCAGUAUUGGGGAAAAAAAUUGCAGCUUUGUGAACCCAUAGUGCUUGUGAUUUAGCCCUCCUUUGCGACCCAGGGGAGAACUUUAUUUUUACCCAAUUUCG